UACGGAGGAUGCAAGCGUUAUCCGGAAUGAUUGGGCGUAAAGCGUCCGCAGGUGGCAAUGUAAGUCUGCUGUUAAAGAGUCUAGCUCAACUAGAUAAGAGCAGUGGAAACUACAUAGCUAGAGUACGUUCGGGGCAGAGGGAAUUCCUGGUGUAGCGGUGAAAUGCGUAGAGAUCAGGAAGAACACCAGUGGCGAAGGCGCUCUGCUAGGCCGUAACUGACACUGAGGGACGAAAGCUAGGGGAGCGAACAGG
rnacentral:rRNA from 1 species